rnacentral:sRNA from 1 species
GAUUAAAAAGUAAAGAAACAAUAAAUUUAUAUAGAAUGUGGCCUUUAAAAUGUUAAUAUUUCAGGUGGCUUAUGGCAAAUGUCAUUUUGAUAAAGCUAGGGGUGUCAAAAUAGGUAACCCAACCCAACUCAACUCAUAAUCAAAUGAGUUUAGAAUUAAAUGAGUUAUGGGUUGACCCAACUCAUUUAACAAAAUGAGUUGGGUCAACCCAUAACUCAUUUAAUUUGAUGGGUUGAGUUGUUAAAUGGUUUAACUCAUUUAAGUAAUAAUUU